rnacentral:misc_RNA from 1 species
GUGAAUCAUCAAAUUUUUGAACGCAAAUUGCACUCUCUGCGGAGAGGAUGCCUGUUUGAGUUUCAGCCUAAAAAAAUCGACAUAGUCGCUGUUUCGCGGGGACAUUCGUCGGGAAUUGUGUCACCUUAAACCGGUUGGUUGUAAUCGGCUUAAAAUUUUCUUUAGGAUUCCACGAACGUUUCUAAGAUUUGCUUACACGUUUAAGGUAGCGAUCUUUGUUAUACGGGGCAGUUGCAG